rnacentral:rRNA from 1 species
UGAGUAACACGUGGGUAACCUGCCUGUAAGAUUGGGAUAACUCCGGGAAACCGGAGCUAAUACCGGAUAAUAUAUCGAACCGCAUGGUUCGAUAUUGAAAGAUGGUUUCGGCUAUCACUUACAGAUGGACCCGCGGCGCAUUAGCUAGUUGGUGAGGUAACGGCUCACCAAGGCGACGAUGCGUAGCCGACCUGAGAGGGUGAUCGGCCACACUGGGACUGAGACACGGCCCAGACUCCUACGGGAGGCAGCAGUAGGGAAUCUUCCGCAAUGGACGAAAGUCUGACGGAGCAACGCCGCGUGAGCGAAGAAGGCCUUCGGGUCGUAAAGCUCUGUUGUUAGGGAAGAACAAGUACGAGAGUAACUGCUCGUACCUUGACGGUACCUAACCAGAAAGCCACGGCUAACUACGUGCCAGCAGCCGCGGUAAUACGUAGGUGGCAAGCGUUGUCCGGAAUUAUUGGGCGUAAAGCGCGCGCAGGCGGUUUCUUAAGUCUGAUGUGAAAGCCCACGGCUCAACCGUGGAGGGUCAUUGGAAACUGGGGAACUUGAGUGCAGAAGAGGAGAGUG